rnacentral:rRNA from 1 species
AAGGGAAGUCGGCAAAAUGGAUCCGUAACUUCGGGAAAAGGAUUGGCUCUGAGGGCUGGGCUCGGGGGUCCCAGUUCCGAACCCGUCGACUGUUGGCGGGCUGCUUGAGCUGCUAACGUGGCGAGAGCGGACCGCCUCGUGUCGGCCGGGGGACGGACUGGGAACGGCUCUUUCGGGAGCUUUCCCCGGGCGUCGAACAGCCAACUCAGAACUGGUACGGACAAGGGGAAUCCGACUGUUUAAUUAAAACAAAGCAUUGCGAUGGUCCCUGCGGAUGCUAACGCAAUGUGAUUUCUGCCCAGUGCUCUGAUACCAUAUUAGUGAUGGGCCUAACUCACACCCAAAAGCUAGCUCAUGAGUGGAGGAUUGCCCAUACACUU